rnacentral:rRNA from 1 species
GGAUUAGAUACCCUGGUAGUCCUAGCUGUAAACGAUGGAUACUAGACGUAGGAACUGGAUUGACGGUUUCUGUGUCGUAGCUAACGCGUUAAGUAUCCCGCCUGGGGAGUACGGUCGCAAGACUAAAACUCAAAGGAAUUGACGGGGGCCCGCACAAGCAGCGGAGCGUGUUGCUUAAUUCGAUGCAACGCGAAGAACCUUACCUGGGUUUGACAUGUGGAGUUUGGUUAUCAGAGAUGAUUUCCUUCAGUUCGGCUGGCUCCAACACAGGUGCUGCAUGGCUGUCGUCAGCUCGUGCUG